AACGAACGCUGGCGGCAGGCUUAACACAUGCAAGCCGAGCGCCCCGCAAGGGGAGCGGCAGACGGGUGAGUAACGCGUGGGAAUCUACCCAUCUCUACGGAAUAACGCAUGGAAACGUGUGCUAAUACCGUAUACGUCCUUCGGGAGAAAGAUUUAUCGGAGAUGGAUGAGCCCGCGUUGGAUUAGCUAGUUGGUGGGGUAAAGGCCUACCAAGGCGACGAUCCAUAGCUGGUCUGAGAGGAUGAUCAGCCACACUGGACUGAGACACGGCCCAGACUCCUACGGGAGGCAGCAGUGGGGAAUAUUGGACAAUGGACGCAAGCCUGAUCCAGCCAUGCCGCGUGAGUGAUGAAGGCCCUAGGGUUGUAAAGCUCUUUCACCGGUGAAGAUAAUGACGGUAACCGGAGAAGAAGCCCCGGCUAACUUCGUGCCAGCCGCCGCCGUAAAAC
rnacentral:rRNA from 1 species